rnacentral:rRNA from 1 species
AAUAGAUACCCAGGUAGUCCACGCCGUAAACGAUGAGUGCUAAGUGUUAGAGGGUUUCCGCCCUUUAGUGCUGCAGCAAACGCAUUAAGCACUCCGCCUGGGGAGUACGGCCGCAAGGCUGAAACUCAAAGGAAUUGACGGGGGCCCGCACAAGCGGUGGAGCAUGUGGUUUAAUUCGAAGCAACGCGAAGAACCUUACCAGGUCUUGACAUCCUCUGACACUCCUAGAGAUAGGACGUUCCCCUUCGGGGGACAGAGUGACAGGUGGUGCAUGGUUGUCGUCAGCUCGCGUCGUGAGAUGUUGGGUUAAGUCCCGCAACGAGCGCAACCCUUGAUCUUAGUUGCCAGCAUUCAGUUGGGCACUCUAAGGUGACUGCCGGUGACAAACCGGAGGAAGGUGGGGAUGACGUCAAAUCAUCAUGCCCCUUAUGACCUGGGCUACACACGUGCUACAAUGGAUGGUACAAAGGGCAGCAAAACCGCGAGGUCGAGCAAAUCCCAUAAAACCAUUCUCAGUUCGGAUUGUAGG